UUUGACAUGACUGUAAGCAUCAUUUUCCUUAUGAAGACAGAAAGAGGGAAGGCAGAAACAGGAAGAUCCCUGGAAGCUUGCUGGCCAGCUGAUCAGUCACUAUGGGGGAACUCCCAAGUCAACAAGAAACUGUCUCAAAUAACAGAUAGAAGAUGAAAACAGAAGAACAUAAUAGAAAAGAAAGACUUCCAUGGGCCUGAGAAGAUGGCUCAGCAGAAAAAUAGUAUUAUCACCGCAGAAGAAAAGAAUAGCCGGGUGCUUCGUUGUUAACGGGAACCAGAAUCCUAUGAUUCUGAUGACUUAUUGGAGGUUUCAUCGUCUGAGGACCUUGCUACAGCUCAGGAUACAGAUGGGCUCUUGGAGGAUGGAGUGUCUGCCUGUUUAUAUUCUUCUUGACACAAUCCCAAGAGGGUUAGAUUCAACAAUCACAGAGAAGUUUGCUCUCCAUUUGUUUUGAUGAGUAGUGCAAUACACACAAUACCAAUAAAUCCUGUAAAUGGUUGUUCUUAUAUAA